UGCUAUAGUCCAAAGCUGUCACUAUCGUUCUGCGGUGGAGGCAGUGGAGGACCACAGACAGCUCAUUAUAUCAGUCCUCAUCUCUAAGGAGCUAAUACGUUUACUCUGGGCUAACCCUGGAAAAGCUAGUGCUAAUACCAUAGUCUUCCAGCUCGGCCUGUGUUUGGAAGCACAGGUCGAUGCUGUUAUAAGACCGACCGAAGCUUUGAUACCUUUAACUGGCAAAAGGGGAAUUCUGAAUAACAAUGCAUAGCGUGGACUACUAGAUCCAUGUUGGCUUACUGGAGAGUGACUGACCUAUCAUGCUGUGUUGGUAUGUUAAUAUGCCUACCACGGCUAAGACGGGUAACGGAGAAUGAUUGUUUGAUUCCGGAGAGGCAGCCCUAGUAACGGCUACCACGUCUAAGGAUGGCAGCAGGCACGCAAAUUACCCAAUCCCAGCACAUGGGGGAGGUAGUGACGAUAGUUACUGAUGUGAGUGUCCUUAGUGACUCUUGCAAUUGGAAUGGCUAAAUUGUAAAGACCCUAAUGAGAACCUACUGGAGGGCAAGUCUGGUGCCAGCAGCCGCGGUAAUUCCAGCUCCAGUGGCGUAUGCCAUUGUUGCUGUGGCUGAGAGGCUCGUCAUCCAGUACCCUUGGACCGGUACUGGUUGUCACCUCUGUGCAUUUACUUGCACAUGAAGUGGAACGGUUUAACGAUCACAAGUCUCCUCAGGUUCGUUACUUGUACCUUGCCAGAGGAGCAACUGCUUGAGUAAAUCAGAGUGCUUAAGGCAGUCGUUAGCUGACUGCGCCCUCACGGGUUACAUGUCAAUGCUAGCGCUGCUACCCCUUGUGGGAAGUGGUGUUGUGUAUACAGACCUUGUGUCUUUGCACGGCUUGUCAGUUGGAAGAGGCUCUACUCAUCAGUGGGAGUUUGUCUCACCCCGCACAGAGUACUGUUGAGUAGUGAAUGAGCUGAUGGGACAGGUCUUUAUGGCGAAAGUAUUGCAGGGCGAGGGGUGAAAUCCUAUGACCCUUGCAAGACUACCUGAAGCGAAAGCGUUCUGCCAAGGACGUCUUCAUACGACCAUGAACCAAAGUGAGGGGAUUGAAGGCGAUUAGAUACCGCCCUAAUCCUUACCAUGAGCGAUACCAGCCAUCUAUCUGCUACGGCUAGAGCCGACCCUGUUUAGCUGUGCUUUAACGCACGGCGGCGGAGUCAGCCAUGCCUAGUGGGCAGUCUCCCAGUUCUGAGAAGUCUUUGAGCUUUUCGGUUCCUGGGGGAGUAUGGUAGCAAUGCUGAAACUUGAAGGAAUUGACGGAAAGGCACCACCAGGCGUGGAGCUUGCGGCUUAAUUUGACUCAACACGGGGAAUCUCACCAGACCCGAACAGCUGUGAGGGAAGGUCAGACUGAGAGCUCUUACUGGAUGAAGUGGAUGGUGGUGCAUGGCCGUUCUUAGUUGGUGGAGUGAUCUGUCUGGUUAAUUCCGAUAACGAACGAGACUCUCUCCUACUAAUGAACUGGUUUAGACGCUGUGAUUCGCUCAUACUCUCUGAGUGCGAGCAUAUAAUCCAGUGAUCCUUGGUGCUGAGGCGCCUCGGAGUUGGCAUAUCUUCUUAGAGGGAUUGACGACGUCCUUACAGUCGUCUGAAACAGGGUGCAAUAACAGGUCUGUCAUGCCCUUAGAUGCUCUGGGCUGCACGCGUGUUACACUACUAGUGUCAAUGGGUAUGUUCAGAUAAUGGGUGGUCGCACCCGUUCCCUCUGAAUCCUGCAUCCCUCCCCCGAGAGAUGUGGGUAAUCCUUUGAAACACUGACUGCUGUGACACACCUUGCGUGUUUGUUCACUCAGUAGUAUGUUUGGGCCUGGGGGUUGCAAUUAUCCCCCACCAACUUGGAAUGCCUAGUAGCGACGGGUCACAGAGCUCGUCACGACUCUGUCCCUGCCCUUUGUACACACCGCCCGUCGCUACUACCGAUUGAGUGGACCAGUGAGGAUCUUGGACUGGCGAACCUCCCGCUCUCGUAGUGGGGGGCGAACGACAUGAAAGAGAUUCGAACUGGUUCACUUAAAGGAAGUAAAAGUCGUAACAAGGUUUCCGU
rnacentral:rRNA from 1 species